GUUAAUUAUUUCUCAAUUUACACUUUUUGCAAAUACAAAAAAAAGGUACUAAACCCGACUUUCAUCUAGCCAAAGAUUCGAAAGAAGCUUUAAUUUUAUAUAAUAAAAUAAUUGAAGAAUUUGAAAAAGAAUAUAAAAAAGAAAAAAUAAAAAAAGGAAAAUUUGGUUGCUACAUGAAUAUUGACGUUACCAAUGAUGGACCAGUCACAAUAUUUAUUGAUAGUCAUGACAUUAAUUUAGCUAAAUAAUUAUUUAGUCAUUUUUUUUUAUAUAUAUGUAUUUUUUUUUAAUAUAAGUAGCACAUUAUAAAAAUUUUACUUUACCCUAACACCAGUGAAGUAUACAUAUAUAUAUAUAUACCCAUAUACACUUAUGUUUUUUAUAACUUACAUUUAAUUUGUACAGCCAGUUUGUAUUUUUCAAAAAAAUAUAUGUUUAGUGAAUAAAAAAGGUGAUACUAUAUAAAUAAAUAUAUAUAUAUAUAUAAUCCAUCGAAGUUUUAUUUAUAAUAAUUAAAAAAAAAUCCAAGUUACUUAAAAUUAAAAAGGAAGCAUAUAUGCCCAUAUUGUACAUACAUACAUAUAUACACAUAUCUAUAUAGACAAAAUUUCAAAGGCAAGAUGAAAGUUCUAAAUAAAAAAGAGAUCAGUAUAUUGUUACCCUUAUGGGAAUAUAAAAUAAAAAAGGAAUGUUACAAUUAUAUAGAAAGAAAAAUUAAAUUUCUUAGUUUUACUCAGGCAUGGCAAUUUAUGAAUAAUAUAAGUAAACAAAAUGAAAUUGUAAAUCACCAUUGUAAAUAUGUUAAUGACUACAACAAAGUAAAAAUAAAAAUGCAUACACAUACUGUAAAAGACGUAACUGAGAAAGAUGUUAAAUUGGCUAGCUACAUUGAUGAAGCAUUAAAAAAUUAUGACCACGAAAAAAAAUAAAUGAUAAAAACAUGAAUGAACGAAAAUAGAAAGAAAUCCGCACGUACAUACGUACGUACGUACAUAUAUAUAUAUAUAUAUAUAUGUGUGUUUACAAAAAAAAUAAAAUUAUAUUAACUUAUUGUAUGUAUAAAAAU
rnacentral:lncRNA from 1 species